CUGCAGGAGAGCAGGGCGAUGGGAAAGGUACAGAAACCGGUACAGAGAUAAAACGGGCAGCACAAGUAUAGGUUUUUUGAUACUAAAACAUCGUAUACAGCGUCCAUAAUAAAAUGAUAACAUUUAAAGCUAGUUGGCUCGGUGGGAAAUAAAACCAAACAAUCUUAACCACUACUCCGGACAUCGCAGACAAAUCCAAUGCUGAACACGAGCACAACCAAAACAGGCCUUUGGCGAAAAGAGUUAAUUAUGGGGCCAAGCACCGUAAUAGCACCACAUCUGUUUUACUGUAGUUACAUUACAGUGGCUUUUCUUUGGGGGAGAAGUUUCUCUCGCUUGCUGACGAGCAGACGGUGAAAAGUCUCGCACCUCUUCCGACUCGGUCGGUUUUUGUCGCAGGAAAAGAAGUGUUUGGACUUGUUUCCUGUCGGACGUAAGUAGCUUUGAAUUGUGAACGUGUCUGGCAAAUGACUCUCGGAGAGACGUGAGCAGGUGAGAAAGGCGACUGUUUAACGAGGGUUUGUCACGGAUUGAAAAUGAAAACCCGACUCCUCGAACGGAACGUAGUCGAAUAAAGCGGGUGGCGGCAGUUCGGCUUUCGGCCGCACCAUCUGUUUCUUUUCAGACGCUCCGUUCCAAUGCGGUUCCACACUAAAGUGUGUGCUUGGGAUUGGCCAGAACAGCAGUAUAGACAUUGUGGAGCAGCACAGGGAUUUCCAAGCAAUCGUGUGUGUGUGUGUGUGUGUGUGUGUGUGUGUGUGUGUGUGUGUGUGUGUGUGUGUGUGUGUGUGUGUGUGUGUGUGUGUGAGAGAGAGAGAGAGAGAGAGGGAGAGAGAGAGAGACGGAGAGAGACGGAGAGAGACAGAAACUGAGAUGGGGAGAGAGAGAAGUGGGGAGGGAGAGAGAGAGAGAGAGAGAGAGAGAGAGAGAGACGGAGAGAGAAACAGAGAGAUGGAGACGGAAGACAGAGAGAGAGAGAGAGAAACAAACGGAGAGGGAGAGAUGGAGACGCAGCGUGAGAGAGAGAGAGAUGGAGAGAGACAGAAACUGAGAUGGAGAGAGAGAGAGAAGUGGAGAGAGAGAGAGAGAGAGACUGAGACAGUGAGAGAGAGAUGGAGAGAGAAACAGAGAGAGAUGGAGACGGGGAGAGAGAGAGAGAGAGAGAGAGAGAGAGAGAGAGAGAGAGAGAGAGAGAGAGAGACCCAGACAGACAGUGAGACCGAAAGUGUUUGCAGUCGUGAAGGAAAUUCAGUCCAGCUUUAUUGUGUCCGAGUUGAUUGAUCUCACGUUAUUAUGCGUCUGAACAGAGAGUCCUCUGUUUACAGAGAAUCGCACUGAUCUCGCUCUUCCACUUAUAACGGGAAAUCACAUUUCUGUGUGUGUAGAAAAGCCUGGUCCUAAACUGGUGCCAAACGCACGAGUUGGUCAAGUCAAAGGUGUUUGUCUGUCUUUUAGAAUUUUUCUGUCUUCAGGCUCGUCCACAGAGCUCACUCGGGGUUUCUGUUAGUUCGCUGAGGUUUAAUAUAAACACGGUGGCAGGAAGUUCGGGUCUAGGUGAGGCAGGUGUGAAAGCAGCUGAACGUCAUGGGGUUGUCGCUCGGUGCCCGUGUUUGUGUGGAUGUUGUUUGCUGAAGCCUUUGAAGAAAGACAAGUCUGUUAUUAUACAGCAGAUUUACUGAGGCGAAAACACACACACAUUUCUCUUACUGACAUUGUGAGGACAAGAACGUGUCCCCACAACAUCUAAACUGCCAGAUAUUCCUAUCCUUGUGGGGAUACACGGACCGGGACGAGAUAUAAACACACAACACCACAACAAAAACAUUUUCACAUUCCUUCCAUCUAUACAUCCAUUUCCUGUACCGCAUCUCCUAUACAGGGUCAUCGGGAAGCCUGGAGUCUAUCCCAGGGGGCUCGGGGCACAAGGCAGGGGGGACACCCUGGACAGGGUGCCAACCCGUCACAGAGCACAGUCCCGCACACACUUUUUCACACGCUACGGAUAAUUUGGCAGCGCCAAUCAACCUACGAUGCACGUCUUCGGACCGGAGUACCCGGAGGAAACCCCCAAAAGCACGGGGAGAACGUACAAACUCCACGCACGGGGGGCGGAGGCAGGAUUCGAGCCGCCAACCCCGGAGGUACGAGGCAAGCAUGCUAACCGCUAAGCCUCCAUGGCCUCCGUUUCUACAUUCGUUUUGAACAACUUAACCCUUACCCCAUAUGUAUGUCGUCGAUGAAUGAAAACGUCUUUUGUG
ensembl:lncRNA